GGAGCGCGCUACCUGCAGUCGAAGCUCGCAGAGAGUGGCGCACGGGUGAGUAACACGUAGCUAAUCUGCCCUCAAGACAAGGAUAACUGUAGGAAACUACUGCUAAUACUUGAUAAGCUUACGGACUGUAGAGGUCUAUAAGAAAAGAUUUAUCGCUUGAGGAUGAGGCUGCGCGCCAUCAGCUAGUUGGUGAGGUAAUGGCUCACCAAGGCGACGACGGCUAGGGGACCUGAGAGGGUGACCCCCCACACUGGGACUGAGACACGGCCCAGACUCCUACGGGAGGCAGCAGUGAGGAAUAUUGCACAAUGGGCGCAAGCCUGAUGCAGCGACGCCGCGUGGAUGAAGAAGGUUUUCGGACUGUAAAAUCCUUUUCUGUGUGACGAGAGUGGACGGUAGCACAGGAAUAAGUCUCGGCUAACUACGUGCCAGCAGCCGCGGUAAAACGUAGGAGGCAAGCGUUAUCCGGAGUUACUGGGCGUAAAGCGCGUGUAGGUGGGUUGGUAAGUUACUUAUAAAAGCCCCUGGCUAAACUAGGGGAGGUUGAGUGAUACUGCCAGUCUUGAAUAGAGGAGAGGUUGACGGAAUUCCGCGUGUAGUGGUGAAAUGCGUAGAGAUGCGGAAGAACACCAGUGGCGAAGGCGGUCAACUGGCCUCAUAUUGACACUCAGACGCGAAGGCAUGGGUAGCGAACGGGAUUAGAAACCCCGGUAGUCCAUGCAAUAAACGAUGCACACUGAAUGUUCGUUGUCCUACGGGGCAAUGAGUGUUGAAGCUAACGCGUUAAGUGUGCCGCCUGGGGAGUACGGUCGCAAGCUAAUAG
rnacentral:rRNA from 1 species